rnacentral:tRNA from 1 species
UGGGGGAUCGUCCAACGGCAGGACUGCGGACUUUGGAUCCGCCAAUGGAGGUUCGAAUCCUCCUCCCCCAGCCA